UAGAGUUUGAUCCUGGCUCAGGGCGAACGCUGGCGGCGUGCCUAAUACAUGCAAGUCGAGCGAGCUUGCCUAGAUGAUUUUAGUGCUUGCACUAAAUGAAACUAGAUACAAGCGAGCGGCGGACGGGUGAGUAACACGUGGGUAACCUGCCCAAGAGACUGGGAUAACACCUGGAAACAGAUGCUAAUACCGGAUAACAACACUAGACGCAUGUCUAGAGUUUGAAAGAUGGUUCUGCUAUCACUCUUGGAUGGACCUGCGGUGCAUUAGCUAGUUGGUAAGGUAACGGCUUACCAAGGCAAUGAUGCAUAGCCGAGUUGAGAGACUGAUCGGCCACAUUGGGACUGAGACACGGCCCAAACUCCUACGGGAGGCAGCAGUAGGGAAUCUUCCACAAUGGACGAAAGUCUGAUGGAGCAACGCCGCGUGAGUGAAGAAGGGUUUCGGCUCGUAAAGCUCUGUUGGUAGUGAAGAAAGAUAGAGGUAGUAACUGGCCUUUAUUUGACGGUAAUUACUUAGAAAGUCACGGCUAACUACGUGCCAGCAGCCGCGGUAAUACGUAGGUGGCAAGCGUUGUCCGGAUUUAUUGGGCGUAAAGCGAGUGCAGGCGGUUCAAUAAGUCUGAUGUGAAAGCCUUCGGCUCAACCGGAGAAUUGCAUCAGAAACUGUUGAACUUGAGUGCAGAAGAGGAGAGUGGAACUCCAUGUGUAGCGGUGGAAUGCGUAGAUAUAUGGAAGAACACCAGUGGCGAAGGCGGCUCUCUGGUCUGCAACUGACGCUGAGGCUCGAAAGCAUGGGUAGCGAACAGGAUUAUAUACCCUGGUAGUCCAUGCCGUAAACGAUGAGUGCUAAGUGUUGGGAGGUUUCCGCCUCUCAGUGCUGCAGCUAACGCAUUAAGCACUCCGCCUGGGGAGUACGACCGCAAGGUUGAAACUCAAAGGAAUUGACGGGGGCCCGCACAAGCGGUGGAGCAUGUGGUUUAAUUCGAAGCAACGCGAAGAACCUUACCAGGCCUUGACAUCCCCCUGAAUGGGUGGUAAUGCAUCCAGCCCUUCGGGGCAGGGGAGACAGGUGGUGCAUGGUUGUCGUCAGCUCGUGUCGUGAGAUGUUGGGUUAAGUCCCGCAACGAGCGCAACCCCUAUCCUUAGUAGCCAGCGAGCAAGACGGGCACUCUAGGGAGACUGCCGGGGAUAACCCGGAGGAAGGUGGUGAUGACGUCAAAUCAUCAUGCCCCUUAUGGCCUGGGCUACACACGUGCUACAAUGGCGUAAACAAAGGGAAGCGAAGGCGUGAGCGUAAGCAAAACCCAAAAAUAACGUCCCAGUUCGGAUUGUAGUCUGCAACCCGACUACAUGAAGCUGGAAUCGCUAGUAAUCGCGGAUCAGAAUGCCGCGGUGAAUACGUUACCAGGGUCUUGCACUCACCGCCCGUCA
rnacentral:rRNA from 1 species